rnacentral:rRNA from 1 species
AACGAACGCUGGCGGCAGGCUUAACACAUGCAAGUCGAACGCCCCGCAAGGGGAGUGGCAGACGGGUGAGUAACGCGUGGGAACGUACCUUUCAGUUCGGAAUAACUCAGGGAAACUUGUGCUAAUACCGGAUGCGCCCGCAAGGGGAAAGAUUUAUCGCUGAAAGAUCGGCCCGCGUUGGAUUAGCUAGUUGGUGGGGUAAAGGCCUACCAAGGCGACGAUCCAUAGCUGGUCUGAGAGGAUGAUCAGCCACACUGGAACUGAGACACGGUCCAGACUCCUACGGGAGGCAGCAGUAAGGAAUAUUGCUCAAUGGCCGAAAGGCUGAAGCAGCAACGCCGCGUGGAGGAUGAAAUACUUUUGUAUGUAAACUCCUGUAAGAAGGGAAAAUAUUCCGAUUUAUCGGGAUUGAUUGUACCUUCAGAGUAAGCCCCGGCUAACUACGUG